rnacentral:misc_RNA from 1 species
UAGAACUGAUUCUAAAUCUAAAAGAAAAUUCACUGCUACCUCAAUUACAGAGGUGCCUGGCAAAAGCAGAUGCAAAAUUCUAUCGGUACUUGUACAUUUUAAGCCUAAAUAUCCUCCAUGCUUAUAAAACCUUAUCGCACUAAGUACAUCAGUUUCAAAAUAGGCAUGCGCAUGACUUGGAACAGAAAUUUCUUCAGUUCUCUAAUUAUAUAAUGCAAAAUUUUGCACCCAAUGAUUUUUCUGCACAAUCAGUUGGGUCAAUUGACCUCUGUACCUAGUAAAGCUUAUUUCCUUAUGUAGCCUGACAUAGGAUUCGGUGACAUCUAUUGGAGUCUUAAUCUUUAUAUGGCAAGUCCUUCUAAAUUCUAGCUGUUGUUUGAGAUCUUAAUUUGAUCAUCUUUAAUCUCAUGGUGAACUGAAGUAAAGAAAUGAUGGUGAUGCCACUUACAGAAUCAAAAGUAAAAGUCUCUAG